UAAUUACUCAGGUUUCUAAGAGGUUCUGGGCCAUCAGUGUCUAGAAAGUUGGUGUUGCACCUAAAUCUAGUUUAAAGAAAUAUGUAUUUCAUCCAUGAAAUUGCCUGGGAUGAAAAUUAAUAAAAAAGCUCUCUGUAAUUGAGUGUUUGACAUGGUUUCAAUAACU